GCCCACCAAUAGUCAAUAACCCCCAAAGUAGAAAAUUCAUUCUUAACUACUUCUUGAUAAUUUAUAUCAAACACUACCGCCCUGCGCACCAAAAACCCUAGAGUGCUGUACUUCGUCGCAUCGUCUCUUCUAAAGUGAAGUGAAGCCGAGUAAUUGGGGAGGCCUAUACUCAAAUCUUUGAUGGACAAUGCUGAGGAUAGUGAGAAAUCCAAGAAGACUGUUUUUGUAACAGUGGGCACCGCAUGUUUUGAUGCGCUCGUUGGAGUGCCGGAUUCUAAGGAGGUUAAAGACUUAAAGAUGAGCUGUUGAGGAGAGGAUAGACACACCUUUUCAUUCAAAUGGGUUGAGGAACCCAUACUCCUUCUAAGGGUCAGGAAGCAUAUUUGAGACAUUGCGGCUUGGCAAACCUCUAAUUGUGGUUGUCAAUGAAGAUUUGAUGGACAAUCGUCAAAGUGAGCUCGCCCAAGAACUAGCAGAUAGGAAGCAUUUGUAUUGUGCUCGUCCUCAAAACACUUCGUCAGACAAUAGCAAGCAUGGAUUUGGAGUCCCUCCUCCCAUACCAUAAGGGUGAUGCCACACCAGCCAUGGAUCAUAUAGACAGAUUUUUAGGUUUCCCAGACGACUGAUAAAUUGCUAAAUCCAAUACAUCAGAGAAGAAAAACAAGAGAAAUCAUUCUUGAAUGGAUUCUAUCUUUGUCAUGGGGCUAUUCACAUGAGGGAUCGAUUUUACAUGCCAACAAUCCACGAGAAGCACCCCUAUGACAAUGCAUUCGACACUCCGGUCUAAUUUGAUUGAGAAUGUGCAGUCGUACUUGAAUGAAUACCUCAAGUUAUUCGGACGUUUCUCUUUCAAGUGUAGAGGUAACUGCUUGGCUGAACUCUGG